UCUAAUCCUCGUGAAAUGUUGAAUUAACCUCUUCGAAAUGUUGAAUCAGGUUCACGGAUUGAUUAAUUAGUUAUAAGAAGAUAUUGAAGCAUAUUUCACACGUCGGAAAAUCUUGGUGAGGUGGAGAGGCAAUAAAAAAUAAUAUCUGAUUUUCGUGCAAUGUUGAGAUUGUUAAAUCAAGCGUAAGAAAAUAUCGAAGAGUAUUUGUGAAGGGAUAUUGGCUGCAAUAUAGGAGAUAACUAGCUUACAUAAGGGAGCCCCUUUUACGCCACCAACCUCUUCUUAGAGCCACCUAGGCCUCUUGGUCAACACAUUUCUCCUCCUUCCUCUGGUCUCUUCCAAUCCAGGGCAUAGCACCACCGCUUAAAAUUGAAUCAUGCGCAACUCCUCGCAUCUACGUGCAAGCUUGACCUGUCGUAAUCACCGCCCCCUCGUUUCCUCUCCCCACCUAUUCCUCCCUUUAAUCGUGCUACAAUGGUGGUAAUUACCAUGGAAAUUGCUGCUUCCUCCAUUGAGUCCGCCAUCCCAAUCUUCACAACGUAGGAACCGAUCAAGAUAACUAGCUAUAGAACACCUAAGAUAACUUGCUGCAAGCAACUAUAACUAGUGCAACCUGGCAAAUAAAACUCAAAGCCAACAACCUUAUUUAACCGGCAACCUGAAUCGAGGAUUCGCCCAACCACACUCUCAAAGAACCAACCAACACAACCCGGAAUCAAACGGACUAGGAGCACCAAUUGGGAGCUGAUGAAGCGGCCGCUUCUAUAAUCCCUUAAGGAAAUCACAAGAGCAAAGGGGUAGAUCACUCUCUGAAUUUGUUAGCACACAGCUGAACAAAAGGGGUUCAAUUUCAUUAUCAAAGUCUUCUGUAAUCUCUUGGAUACAAGGAUUAUUUAUAUUAGGAACAAUCCUCCUAGUUGGGUGUGAAUGGACCUUAGAGUUUCUGGAGUUAUGGUAACUCAAAGAUCACCACGAACUGAACUCCCGAAGAGCCUCACGUGGCUGUUGGCCUUCUAUGCAGUCUCCACUAAUUUGGUCAUAACUUUUUAUUGGGAACUCCAAAUGAUAUGUGGUUUCUUGAAUUGAAAACUAGACUUCAAGCCUGUUCCAUAAAGUACUCAUCG
rnacentral:lncRNA from 1 species